rnacentral:tRNA from 1 species
AUAUCUUGUAGCUCAGCUGGAUAGAGUACUCGGCUACGAACCGAGCGGUCGGAGGUUCGAAUCCUCCCGGAUGCACCA